UUUGGAUGAGGUGCGUAGACCAGCCGAUGUUUAUUUCGACACAGGUGGCAAAAACAAAGUGGAUGAUAGCCGGCAAGCUGGUUGGAGAUUCUGAUGAAGAGAUGACCAGAAUUGAAAUAUCACGUAAGGCAUUUGCGAAAUGGAGACCAGUCCUAAGUAACAGAAACCUUUCAAUGCAUACUCGUCAGAGGGUCCUGAAAUGCUAUGUGUGGUCCAUCCUAUAAUACGGCUGCGAGACAUGGGCAUUAAAAACCACAAUGCUGAACAAACUGGAAGCAUUUGAAAUGUGGUGCUACCGCAGGAUCCUGAAGAUAUCGUGGGUCUUGCACACUUCUAACAAGGACGUUCUUAGGAUGAUGAAUACAGACCGACUACUCCUAAAUAUAAUAAAGAGGAGGAAGACAGAAUACUUCGGUCACAUAGUUAGAGGACCUAAAUACCAUCUACUUCGCCUUAUAAUACAAGGAAAAGUGGAAGGAAAAAGAUGGAUAGGCCGAAAGAAACUUUCAUGGCUGCGCAAUAUCAGGCAGUGGUGUGACUGCACAGUAGAGGAGCUGUUUCGCGUAGUGGCCGAUAGAGAAAGAUUCCAGGAAAUCGUAAAUAUGAUGAUGACCAACGUCUGAAUACAGACACGGCACCUAAAGAAGAAGGCUACCUUCAAAGGGGUUAGGAUAAGGUGUUUGGAGAAAUUGGUGUUUGGGUGCCUCGUAACUUUGUUAAAAAGAAAUAAGGAUAUACCUCGAGCGGUUAAGGUAUACCUUGGUGGGUUCUUACCUACUACUGGUUCGAAGCAGGAGAUGGUAAUGAUUGAAGUAGAAACCAAAGAGAACUGGUAGAAACUAAUUUAUUGCGCGUUGAGUUUAACAAGUGUGAGUGUGUGUUUGCGGACUCUAAACGCGCCCUCAGUUUUUCUCACUGAACCGGCGGGGCCUUCUGAUUCUAGGUUGUUACCUCGAAGAUUUGUUCGAAAGAGAAUUUAACUCAAUCUCGCUAACAUUUGCGUCUCGACGAAUGCUACAUGGUCCGGUUCCAGAACGUUCGUCGUCGUACCCCCUCGGAGGUACUCGACUCACGAUAUACAAAUCCACCUCCGGCUGGCUGUGUGGCGUAUGCCAGUGGCGUGUGGCCAGCCUGGCGUAUGCCUUCAGGAAGGAAUAUAAAAAAUACGUGGGAAGAUUCUCCGUACGUUACACAGUUAACACAUAUCCUCCUUAUGAUUCGAAUAAUUGUAUAAUGCCCGAAUAAAUAGACGAAACAGAUCGAUCGAAUGAAUGUUAAUGAAAUUCAAUAAUAAUUGUAACUGGGUUCCAGUACCGCUAUACAGGGUGUUCCACAAUUAUUUUA